rnacentral:lncRNA from 1 species
CAUGUAAAUAAUUUUUAAAAUUUAUGAAAUUUAGUUUCUAGAUAUUUCAAAUACUCUAGAUCAACUUCAACGGCUCCGAUCAUCGAUUCGGAAUCUCUAUCAUCAAGAACAAUUUGAUAGGACAAGUGCUACUAUCCUAUUAAUAGGACAGUAGCCCUGGCCUAUAUAUAUAUAUAUAUAUAUAUAGACAGAGAGAGACAGAGAGAGAGAGAGAACUAGGAUGGAAUAAUAUUAAUAGCACCAAUGACUUGGUGCUAUUAAGUUUUCUGCCCUUGGAUUAAAAGAUGUG